GUGAAUAGUAAAUGCUUGAAUACAAAUGUUGGCUACAAAUUAAUUCUAAAGUCUGAUAUAGGAAAUUGCAGAAUGGGACAUAUUUAAAAAAUAAUAAUCUUACCACCAUAACCACUAUAGCCCAUUUUAGUGUGCAUGGUACUAGCAUGCAGCAGACACUAUGCUCCUUACAUAGCAGGCGCAAUGUUCCUUAUGAUCCCUGAGGCACUCACAGUCCAGCCCCUCAUUCACUGUAUUGCUAAGAUGACACUCCCAUUCUACCAGAAUCGUCCAAAUAUGGAAACAUUUAUACAGUUUACAAACUAAGUUAAAUCUUUCACACUAGCAAAACAGUGAGCGAAUGGCUCACCUGCAGAUGCCUCAAAGACUCACGGUUUUAGUCAAACCGUUCAAAAACUGUUUGACACAGGACCUGGAGGAAGG